GAAGCUCCGAGGAGGGCUUCAUUUUGCCCACACCGUCGUCAAAGCCGGAGUGGCCGUCGGGAUGAGUGCUGCCCAGGACAAAAAAAUUGUAC